rfam:Oryza sativa Japonica Group DNA, chromosome 8, cultivar: Nipponbare, complete sequence.
AAUAAGUGCAGCCAUAAGUUUCAGCACCCAACUUUGAUCGUCCGUCUUAUUUAAAUUUUUUUUAUAAUUAGUAAUUUUGUUGUUAUAAGAUAAUAAAACAUGAAUACUACUUUACUCGUGAAUUAUGUUUUUAAUUUUUUUCAAAAAAUUUUCAAAUAAGACGAGUGAUCAAAGUUGGACGCGAAAAACCAUGGCUGCACUUAUU